GUUUAGUUCUUUGUCCUCAUUAACACAAAGUAGCCUGCAGACAAAGUAUGUGGCUGGAUAUGGGAAACCGAGCUUUGUGCUUCAGGGUAUGAUGUGAUCCCUGAAAAGAAAGACAUCUCUCCUUACACACUGCCCAUGCCAUUGCACAAGCAACUGUGGGCAGCCUUGUACGUGUGCUGAAGCAGGGGACAGCAAAAGUGACCUUACUUCUGCUUUCCCAUCCCUCACUGACCGCAGCAGUGAGCGGCACAGCACAUGGCAGCAUCUGUGAGGGUCAAAGUGGCACAGGGCCUUCCUUCUAGCAAUUCUGCCCUAACCUGCGCAGUCUUUUUGUCUGUCUGUCACUCAAAACAGGAUUUAUUUGCCUCACCAGCAAUUCUACCCUCUGGAGAAACACUGCCUGCUGCCACUCACUCAGAGGGAAGAUGCUGCCAUUCUUGCACAUUAUUCCACAUCACAACAUCAUGCAGUGUACGGGGAGUUAAAGAGCAAAUGCUUUAGUUCCGGGUACGUGCCUGGAAGAGAAGAAGAACUAUGUUCCCCAAGAGCCUUUUCGAGUACUGUUAUCAUUCCUGCUCAAGGGAACAGAUAUAAGGGCACAGGUCAUCUGACUUGUCCCUCUUCUCGUCUCACUGUGUUCCCUGCCGGAUCGACUCACCUCUGCUGCGCCCAACUGCACGCAAGGCUUCAGUAUUAGUGUGAUACCAGUGGAGACUCAGACUGCAGUAACAUGCAAAAAUCAAAACUUCAAAAGAAGGAGGAAAUCGAACUGAUGUGUUUCUUGGCGAGGCAUCACAGACCUCCAGGAAAAUCUGUGCCCUUCCAAGACACCAUCUAACCACAAAGGUACUGAUCAGGAAAAAAAGGAAAAAAAAAAAGAUUCUCAAGUUAAGAGCAAGUCAGGCUUAGACUGAUCAAAAGCACAGAAAACAAGAACCAUAAAGGAUUUCUUCAUUAUUUGCACUGCCAGCUUUUGCAACCCAUCUUGUUAAUGAACAGUCUUCACUUGAGAACUGUGGAUUGGAAAACAGUAUUCCAGCUCUGAGAUGGCAGGAGGAGCAUCAGCUUUCAUGGAAGAGACAAAUCUCUCUAUUACUCAGAACGUAUCUGUCCUGGACAGUUUUAGCACAUGACUGAGCUGACUGGACUUUGUGUUCCAUCUAAGAACAGUGCUAAAUAUGUAAUCUGUAUUUUAAAUCUAAACUCCAAAUCUUUUGGUUGAUAGUUAAGCGACAGGCAAAAUGAAUGGGAACUAAUUGUUAGCUAAGGUGCAUGCAUUUCGUUUUACUUUGAAAACACCACAAUCACAAGUGACAUGGGACAAGAAUUCCAAGAGCAACUUAGAUACUGGUAUUUGUAACUUGUGAAGCUUUGCUAUCAGCCACUCCUCAGCACUCUUGAGUAAGUUCCCAGCAAUUUAGUAGUAUUCUACAUGGGUCUCCAGAAUAAUUUAUAUGGAUUUAAAUAUAUGAUGCUUUCUACUUAGUGGUAUUUUAAUCACUUAAAGAAGCAAAUAUGCUGAGCUGCAGAUAAGCAUACAAGACAAAAUCCCUUUUUUUCUCUCACACUUCAGUGUGCUGGAAAUGCUCUCCAGUAUUUCAACUCCCUACUUGCAUCUCUGUUUCCCUCCAGAGUCCCUCUGCUUUUCAGUUCAAGCUUCACAUCCUCACUUUCAAAGAUCCAGAAAUCUCUGCCCUACCAAAAUCUGUCCUCUUUGCCUUAUGUAUCAUGUACCUUGCUUCCCUUCAUCAAACCUUUCAUCUCCUUUUCUUCACAUGCUUUUUCAUGCAAUUAUUUCUCUUCCUAAAGAUAUCCAGUGCAUGCAUUGGCUCAUUCUCCCACAUAAACUCAUCCUAAGAAUUAUUUGAAACAAAACCAGCAGGAUAUUUCUAGUACUGUCUAGUUCAGCAAACUUUCUUUGUUGUAACACCAACUUAAGCCUAUACAGGUGUUGUGGACCUUUUCUGGAGAUGUCUUUUGCCCAGUGUGAGUUGGGAGAAAACUGGAAAUCAAUUACUUAAUUCUGCCUAGAGACUGUUCUGCACCUGUUCUUUUUGCGCCUCCAUUAUGCAGUGUCAGUUACAAACAAAUUCAAAACAGCCUCCAAUAAAGUCACUUUGAAAGCAGCUAUUAACAUCUUCAGAAGUGCUGAACGUAUGCAAACUAUGACACGUAGAUGCAGAAGCUUCCCCCGAUGCACAUACAGCACUUACAGAACAUCUGAACAUAAAUACCUUUAGCUGCCUCACUGUUUUAUGCUACAUCUCAGUACAUGAUGACACUCUACAGGUAGAAAAGGAAAGCAACAACACUGUUUAUCCCUUAGAAUAAUUUUUAAAGGAAACAGAUACAAAAGAUGAAUAAUCAUUACUUUUGAAGCUGAUUCCGUGCAAAGCAACUUGACCUGUAAGGCCUCCAGCGCUUGCUGCCAUAGUAAUGCAUCCAGGCUGGUCAAAGUCUGCUCCUAGAAUGACACCCGGUGGCCACAAAAAUGAACAGCAAGACAUACUCCUUGCUCUUCGACAUCACUUCCUGCUCUCAGGGACAGGGACCACCAGUGGAAAUUCUACACAGGAACUGAUGAAAACAGACAAACAAACAAAAAACCCACAACUGGAAAAUCCUGUGAUAUUCCUACUAUUACACAUACGCAGACUGAAUAAGGAAUGCAUGAUGCAAUCACAUCCUUUUUCUUUGCAGGUGGG
ensembl:lncRNA